AUGGGUUCUUGGAAGCGCACCAUCACGACGCCGUUCAGGAAGGCCUGCACCAUCCUCAGCCCGCAGCACGGCGGGGGCAGGAGCGAAGACCAGCACGGCGGCAGCGGCAACGACGGCAAGAAGACGCCGCGCACGCGCCACCAUCUGAAGCGGUCCGGAGCGGCCGCGGCGAUGGCGCAGGGCGAGGUGGUGGAGAGCCCGUCCACGACGGCGCAGCUCUACGGCGACGUGAUGGCGUGCGCCUACGAGGACGUGCAGGUCAUGUGGUCCAUGCUCGACAACAAGGCCAAGGUCCUCGACAGCGCCGCCUCGUGA
rnacentral:rRNA from 1 species